GAAACGAAAAAAGGUAAAAAGAGAAUGUGCUCAUUAAUAAAAGGAAAAACUUCAAAUACCACCCCUGUGGUUCUACACUUUCUUACUUUAGUGUUCUGUGGUUUAAAAUGUAUCAAUUUAAUGCUCUGUGGUUUCUUUUUUAUCUUUUUAUUAUCGAUUUCAUUAAGUUUUUUCGUUAAAUUAGUGAUAAAGUUAAAACUAAAUGAUACUAAGAUGAAUAGUCGAUAAACCUAGGUGGGGUAUCUGGAGUUUUUUUUGUGUAUAAUUUAACAAAAUAUUAACGAAAAAACUGAUGAUGAGAUAAAAAUAAAGCAACAGAAUACUAACUUGAUACACUUUAAACCACAUAAUAUUAAAGUGAGAAAGUGUGAAACAACAGGGAUGGUAUUUGAAGUUUCCCCUUAAUAAAAGAAUGUGCUCAU
rnacentral:lncRNA from 1 species